rnacentral:rRNA from 1 species
CCUACGUGGUGCAGCAGUGAGGAAUAUUGGUCAAUGGGCGCGAGCCUGAACCAGCCAAGUAGCGUGAAGGAUGACUGCCCUACGGGUUGUAAACUUCUUUUAUAAAGGAAUAAAGUGAGGCACGUGUGCCUUUUUGUAUGUACUUUAUGAAUAAGGAUCGGCUAACUCCGUGCCAGCAGCCGCGGUAAUACGGAGGAUUCGAGCGUUAUCCGGAUUUAUUGGGUUUAAAGGGAGCGUAGAUGGGUUGUUAAGUCAGUUGUGAAAGUUUUCGGCUCAACCGUAAAAUUGCAAUUGAUACUGGCAGUCUUGAGUACAGUUGAGGUAGGCGGAAUUCGUGGUGUAGCGGUGAAAUGCUUAGAUAUCACGAAGAACUCCGAUUGCGAAGGCAGCUUACUAAACUGCCACUGACAUUGAUGCUCGAAAGUGUGGGUAUCAAACAGGAUUAGAUACCCUUGUAGUC